CUAUACAUGCAGUCGAGCGGACAGAUGGGAGCUUGCUCCCUGAUGUUAGCGGCGGACGGGUGAGUAACACGUGGGUAACCUGCCUGUAAGACUGGGAUAACUCCGGGAAACCGGGGCUAAUACCGGAUGGUUGUUUGAACCGCAUGGUUCAAACAUAAAAGGUGGCUUCGGCUACCACUUACAGAUGGACCCGCGGCGCAUUAGCUAGUUGGUGAGGUAACGGCUCACCAAGGCAACGAUGCGUAGCCGACCUGAGAGGGUGAUCGGCCACACUGGGACUGAGACACGGCCCAGACUCCUACGGGAGGCAGCAGUAGGGAAUCUUCCGCAAUGGACGAAAGUCUGACGGAGCAACGCCGCGUGAGUGAUGAAGGUUUUCGGAUCGUAAAGCUCUGUUGUUAGGGAAGAACAAGUACCGUUCGAAUAGGGCGGUACCUUGACGGUACCUAACCAGARRGSSRSGGSKRRSUACGUGCCAGCAGCCGCGGUAAUACGUAGGUGGCAAGCGUUGUCCGGAAUUAUUGGGCGUAAAGGGCUCGCAGGCGGUUUCUUAAGUCUGAUGUGAAAGCCCCCGGCUCAACCGGGGAGGGUCAUUGGAAACUGGGGAACUUGAGUGCAGAAGAGGAGAGUGGAAUUCCACGUGUAGCGGUGAAAUGCGUAGAGAUGUGGAGGAACACCAGUGGCGAAGGCGACUCUCUGGUCUGUAACUGACGCUGAGGAGCGAAAGCGUGGGAGCGAACAGGAUUAGAUACCCUGGUAGUCCACGCCGUAACGAUGAGUGCUAGUGUAGGGGUUUCCGCCCCUUAUGCUGCAGCUAACGCAUAGCACUCGCCUGGGGAGUACGGUCGCAGACUGAACUCAAGAUGACGGGGCCCGCMMAGCGGUGGAGCAUGUGGUUAUCGAGCACGCGAGAUCUACAGUCUGACUCUCUGAMAUCCUAGRAUAGAACGUCCCUCAGGACAGAUGMCAGGGUGUKCAG
rnacentral:rRNA from 1 species